AGCAUUCAGAGGACUAAGCACGUUUCAUCUCUGCCUGGGGAAAUAAUGCUGCUUGCUUAAACAGCCUGCUUGUGAUGAACUCCGAGCCUUACCGAGCUACAUGCAAAUUACAGCAGAAAGAAGAACCUCGGGUUAACGGAAUAGACCUAUCACCUCCUAAAACACAAGAGGUAAUGGAGCUAAUCCCAUUGUUAUCCCUCGUGUGUGGGGGUCAGUGCAAACACUAACAAGGAUGCCGGAAUCUGCUACAGUGAAAUAUAUGGCAAGCUAUGUGAUACUUCUGGUAUGGAAGCAGUGAGAAGGAAAUGGAUCUCACUCACCUGAUCAUUCAAGCUUGAUGUGCAC